UAUAAAUCACCACCUUGGACCCCCUGUUUGAAUCACUUUUGCAACUAUUUUCCACCCAUCUGGAAGUGCUGCCUGAUCAUCAACCAGCAAGAUGACCAAACUUUGCGUCGCUUUGCUCUCAGCUCUGGUGCUGGCUUUGUGCCUCUCACUUCAGGUGGUCCAGGCCGCCGAGGCUACCACCAACGCCACCAUCACCACCCCCUCCAAAAACAGCGGUGAACGGGCCAUGGCGGUUCCACUGCUCCUUCUCCCGUUGACCUUUCCUAUUAUCUUCUUUCAUGACUGGUUUCUGUAAAGGAUUACUCCAACUGUCCUGUCGGUCCAGCUGGACAGGGGGAUGCAGAUGUCAUCUUCUUCAAUUUGAGGGUUCCCCAAAGAAAACUGUCUUAAGCACCGAACCAGGACGUGCCCUGUUACCAUCUGCAUGUUUUCCCGAUCCCUGCUGGGUGUUUCAUGGACUCUAUUAUUCGGGUAGUACAAGGUGCCUGUGUAGUAACUAGCCUUGUUUUAGGGGGUGGGUGAAAAUGUUAGUGUUUUUAUUUUUUCAAGAAACGUCUUCUGAAUUACUUCACUGCAAAGAUUUAUCUAUUUAAAUAAUCAUGACAAUUGAUACAUAAAUAAAGUUUUAAAA